UUCCACAUAAACCCUAGAAUAAGUUUAUUAAUAUCUACAAAAUAACCUGCAGAAAUUUUGACUGGGGUUGUGUUGGAUUUGUAAUUUAUUUUGGGAAGAAAUUACAUUUUAAUGAGUCCUUCUUUCCAUGAACAUAGACUGUCCUUAUUUAUUUAGAUUGUAAUUUUUUAUUGAGUUUUCUAGUUUUCUUCCCAUAUAUCCUGUACAUAAUUUGUUUGGUAUGUACAUGGUAUUUCUUUCUCACUCUCUUUUCUUGGCAUUAAUAUAAAUAAUACUGUGUUUUAAUUAUAAAUUAUAAUUGUUCAUUGCUAAUAUACAAGAAAACAGCUGAUUUUGUAUAUUAACCUUUUAUUCUAUAACCAUGUUGUAAUUACUUUUUACAGUUUUUUGGUUUCAGCUAAUUGAUUAGAUUCAUCCUGGGAAAUUCAUGUUUCCUCUUGUGUAUAGCUGCAACAUCUCCACACAAUAUGUUUUUAGCUGGAACCUGAAACGCUGCAUGAUUUCACAUUUAACCAGUGAUUUGGGCAGAAACUAUGCAGAAGCACCUCAAACCGAAAUUACCGCAGCCACCCCACGUUCAGCAACCCUGACUGGGAGGAAGCUAUCAACAUCAAGGCAAGGUCUCUACCAGCAAAAAGACUGCAACUCACUGAAGGCUCAGGCAUUGAUUGAGAGAAUACACUCAAGUGAAGCUUCUGCACUCUAAUCAUCAUCUCAGAGUGCUUCCUGGGAAAUCCAACCUGUGACCCCUUCCUGGUCCCUACUCCCUGGGCUCUACUCUCCCCCACAGCAGUUAGCUGUCACCAAGGAGGCUCAUACAGGUACAAUGUCCCCUUCCCUGGGCCACUGCCUGGGAGGCUGAUGCAAGUGGGAUGUCCCCCUUUCCUGGCCCACUGCUUAUGUAGCUCCCCUGAGCUACAACAUUGCACUCAGCUACAGUCAGUAUUUAGCUGACCCUUGGCUAUGUCAGUUUCCAGCUCUUCCUCUGAGAUUGUUUUCAAUUCUUAUCUCUUCCUUAACCUCCACAAUCAAAAGUUACUCAGUUCUGCUGACUGGGUAAUGAGACUAUCCAGAAGAGCAUAUUCCUUAUCUCUUCCUCUCCUCCCCACUAUCACUACUUAAUGGCCUUCCAUUGUCUGUCUCUGCUUACACUGUGGCCACAUUCUGUUAACUGGCUUCCCUGUCUCUCUGCUGUCCUCCUCUACACUGCAGCCAAAGACACCAUUCCAAGGCUCACAUUUGCUCUUGUCAUUCCCUUGCUGAUCACAGUGUGAUUUGUAAGACAAAGCCUAGACUCAGCACAACAUAAAAGGCCCUCUAUGGUCUGAGUGCAACUGCAUCAGUGUCUCCUGUAACCCUGGACUUUACUCUGGUGUCAUGAAUACUGAAAACUCCUUUAGUUUAAAUUCUGGUAUACAUAUUCAGAAUGUGCAGAAUUGUUAC
rnacentral:lncRNA from 1 species